UACGAAGGGGGCUAGCGUUGCUCGGAAUUACUGGGCGUAAAGCGCACGUAGGCGGAUCGAUCAGUCAGGGGUGAAAUCCCAGGGCUCAACCCUGGAACUGCCUUUGAUACUGUCGAUCUGGAGUAUGGAAGAGGUGAGUGGAAUUCCGAGUGUAGAGGUGAAAUUCGUAGAUAUUCGGAGGAACACCAGUGGCGAAGGCGGCUCACUGGUCCAUUACUGACGCUGAGGUGCGAAAGCGUGGGGAGCAAACAGG
rnacentral:rRNA from 1 species